AUUGCAUGGUGGCGCGUUUGGACAAGUUCUUGGCGGGCUAAUGUGUACUUCUAAUUAACAGAAUGAAACGUCACAAAGCCCGCAUCCCCAGCGGGCUUUUUGUU
rfam:Vibrio azureus NBRC 104587 DNA, contig: VAZ01S024.